CAUUUUAACAUUUUAACAUUUUAACAUUUUAACAUUUUAACAUUUUAACAUUUUAACAUUUUAACAUUUUAACAUUUUAACAUUUUAACAUUUUAACAUUUUAACAUUUUAACAUUUUAACAUUUUAACAUUUUAACAUUUUAACAUUUUAACAUUUUAACAUUCUAACAUUUGGCAUUUUUACCAUUUUUACUCAUUAAAAAUGCAAACGAACGCAUCAUCACACUGAACCUGUGCAGCCGACGCUCAUGAAAAGAACGCACCAUGACACUGAACCAACGCAGCCGACCUUCAUGAAACAAACGAACCACGAUUGAGAGAGCUGUCAAAUUGUUUUACUCGCGCGUGUAUAAUCAUGUUCGUGUUGGCUGCUGCUCGGAACCGGAUUGUGUCGAAUAAAAUCGCGUGUGCCUGGGCAUUUGCCGCAUCCGCUGUUCCCUGUUUGCUGUUCUGGUUGUUGGAUGGAUAAAUCCGACUGAUCAACGGAUGGUGCUCUUCGCUGAUUUUUUUUUUAUUUUCUUCUACAGGGACUACUUUCGCCGUGUUUGUACUACUGAUACUCCCUGCCGCCGUCAAGGGUACGUUCCAGAUGGUGUUCUUUCCAGUUCCGCUAGAUGACCUACCCGGAAUGGCGACCUGGAGUUUUGUUGUGGAAGAACCAACAAAACAAAUCAAUUCGGAGUCUCCAGUCGACAAAAAGGAACCGGUGGUCAGUUUAAACGCACCAUGACAUCACCAAUUCGAGGAGAAACAAGAAUCGGUCGCGAUCGAGAUCUUGAAAUGGAAUCGAAAGCGAAAGAAAGCGGCUUCGUUUUGGUGUUUGCAAAACUCUGGAGAGGGCAUUAUCAAUUAACAAUUGAAUAAAAAACCAAAGUGAUUCAAUGUUGAAUGUAAAUAAAUUACAAUGAAAAAUAUAAAGUACUGUAAAACAUACUGUAUUUACUAUUUAUUUUAAUGUCCGAAUAUUGUUGUCACAGUACAAUUUAGUAGGGAACAAACCAUGAAAAACAAUAAUUUUACUGUGUAAUUCAUUGUAAUGCUUAUUAGUUUUAUUGUUCGCAUAUAGUUUUUACCGCAUCAUUUAUUAGAUAAAAAACCAUGAAGAACUGUAAAUUGACUGUGCAAUGCAUUGUAAUGCUUGCUGUUUUUAUUAUUAAAGUAUGAUAUUUUCUAUAGUCAGGACGAGUUUUUGGAUGAAAAAUGCAACAUUAGAUUAACAGUAAAAUGCGUCGUAUUUGGAAAAAAAAUGUAUGGAAAAAUUUCGAAAUUUUUAUGGUACCGGUGCAUAACAACCCCCCUUUUUUAUGGUAAAAUCCCAAAAUACGACGCAAAUUAUCUUAAAAAACGAUGCUGUCUACUGUUAAAACACUGUCAAAAUGACAAUAUAUUUUAUCGUUUUGUAACGUUAAAAUUUACUGUAAGUUCAUCAGAAAUCUUUAUGCGGGAAGUGUU